rnacentral:rRNA from 1 species
GUAAGAAUUUGCCUCUAGGAGGGGGAUAACAACUGGAAACGGUUGCUAAUACCCCAUAUGCUUUCGAGUGAAAUGGAUUUCCGCCUAGAGAGAAGCUUGCGGCUGAUUAGCUUGUUGGUGAGGUAAUAGCUCACCAAGGCGACGAUCAGUAUCUGGUUUGAGAGGACGAUCAGACACACUGGAACUGAGACACGGUCCAGACUCCUACGGGAGGCAGCAGUGGGGAAUUUUCCGCAAUGGGCGAAAGCCUGACGGAGCAAUACCGCGUGAGGGAUGACGGCCUAUGGGUUGUAAACCUCUUUUUUCAGGGAGGAAUCAAUGACGUGUACCUGAAGAAUAAGCAUCGGCUAACUCCGUGCCAGCAGCCGCGGUAAGACGGAGGAUGCAAGUGUUAUCCGGAAUCACUGGGCGUAAAGCGUCUGUAGGUGGUUUAAUAAGUCAACUGUUAAAUCUUGAGGCUCAACCUCAAAAUCGCAGUCGAAACUAUUAGACUAGAGUAUAGUAGGGGUAAAGGGAAUUUCCAGUGGAGCGGUGAAAUGCGUAGAUAUUGGAAGGAACACCGAUGGCGAAGGCACUUUACUGGGCUAUUACUAACACUCAGAGACGAAAGCUAGGGUAGCAAAUGGGAUUAGAUACCCCAGUAGUCCUAGCUGUAAACAAUGGAUACUAGAUGUUGAACAGAUCGACCUGUGCAGUAUCAAAGCUAACGCGUUAAGUAUCCCGCCUGGGAAGUAUGCUCGCAAGAGUGAAACUCAA